GAUGAAGAACGCAGCGAAAUGCGAUACUUGGUGUGAAUUGCAGAAUCCCGUGAACCAUCGAGUCUUUGAACGCAAGUUGCGCCUCAAGCCAUUAGGUUGAGGGCACGUCUGCCUGGGCGUCACAUAUCGUUGCCUGAUGCCAGUUUCCUCGUGAUGGGUGACUGUGCAGGGCGAAUGAUGGCUUCCCGUGAGAAUUGUUGCCUCAUGGUUGGUUGAAAAUUGAGUCCUUGGUAGGGAGCGCCGUGAUAGAUGGUGGUUGAGUGACGAACGAGACCCAAUCAUGUGAGACCCCUACCGAAUUUGGCCUUCAUGACCCACAUGCGUCUUUGGAACGCUCAUGACGAGACCUCAGGUCAGGCGGGGCUACCCGCUGAGUUCAAGCAUAUCAAUAAGCGGAGGA
rnacentral:misc_RNA from 1 species